rnacentral:lncRNA from 1 species
CUGGGUGGGCACCUUGACCACAAGAUACACAGAAAAACACACCUGAGCUCAGGUGGCCAAAGAUUCUAGCAGCACAGGAGUGACUUUAGAUCCCCUGAGAGAGGAUGUUUCUGUGUCUCUGAAGGCAAGGCCGCCAGGAUGCGCUGCAAGAGGAACAGGAGCACCCCAAAGCAGCCCUGCCCCCGCGCCUGUGGAAGCUACAGCCACGCUGUUUCCCUGGCACCAGCACCAACACCCACGAGGGGUGAAUGCAGGCUUGUGCUGGCCCCAAAGGGGGUGCUUUUGGCCUGCAGCUAUAGUUCCCAUGGUAGCAAACACAGAAUAAUACCCUUUAAAGCCACAUGCCAGCUUUUACAGCCUCGUUUUAUGAGUUGCUGGGGUAGCUGAUCAGUACUGUCUGCCCUUGGGAAGAAAUGAGGUGAGGAAAAAGAUAUGCAAAGGAAUGGACUCCUGGAUGGGCCUGUCUUCUCAGCAGAGGAGGAGGUCAGAAACAGGCGCCACCAGCGUGCUAAAAUCCUCCAGGAGCAGUUCUUACCUUGCCAGACGGGGUCUGUUUAUUUGGAUCAAACUGAGAAGAAACUUUGGAUUUGCUGUUUC